ACAACACCCUGACUAAAGAGAAAGACCAGCUACAGACCAGUUACAACACCCUGACUAAAGAGAGAGACCACUUGAAGGAAGAGCUAAACAAACAGAACAGUGGAUGGAGGAAGUUCAGUUCCAGUUGGUACUUCCGCUCUACUGAGAAGAAAUCCUGGACUGAGAGCAGGCAGGACUGUCUGGGGAGAGGCGCACACCUGGUGAUCAUUAACAGCAGAGCUGAACAGGAAUUUAUCCAUGAAUGGGUUGGAUGCCUGGACAUCUACCUUGGUUUCCAUGACACCAAUACAGAAGGGGUUUGGGAGUGGAUUAACGAUGGCCAAUCAGGCCAAUCAUCAGCUCCUAGAACUACGUGAGUGGACCUGUUCUGGAUUAUAUUUUACCAUCUAAUUUGUAACAAAUUCCUUUUUACUGUCUGAUUAUCUGUGUUUGUAUUGGAUGACUUUUUGCUGUCUGUUUCUAUGUGCUUCAUUCUAUAGUUAGGACUCCUGAAUUGGAGGGGGAGUGGUUUCACCUCUUUUUUGAGUGUAUAUAACCAGCUUCUCAGGCUCCAUCUCAGUGUGAUUCAUUUUAUAGCUAGAGGACUCAUGAUAUCUCCAGGAGUGAUAAGUAUAAUUUGUCUUAAUCUGUUGUUGUCUAGUACUGUCUUGUUGCUAGCUAGGGCCAUCUAAUUUAAGUGCUGCCUGUCUUCCCAGUAGCCUACUUGGUGUGUGAACUGC